UACGAAGGGGGCUAGCGUUGUUCGGAAUUACUGGGCGUAAAGCGCGCGCAGGCGGUUUUUCAAGUCAGUGGUGAAAGCCCGGAGCUCAACUCCGGAAAUGCCAUUGAAACUGUGAAACUUGAAGAUGAGAGAGGUGAGUGGAAUUCCCAGUGUAGAGGUGAAAUUCGUAGAUAUUGGGAAGAACACCGGUGGCGAAGGCGGCUCACUGGCUCAUUACUGACGCUCAGGCGCGACAGCGUGGGGAUCAAACAGG
rnacentral:rRNA from 1 species